AGUGAACGCUGGCGGUAGGCCUAACACAUGCAAGUCGAACGGCAGCACAGUAAGAGCUUGCUCUUACGGGUGGCGAGUGGCGGACGGGUGAGGAAUACAUCGGAAUCUACUUUUUCGUGGGGGAUAACGUAGGGAAACUUACGCUAAUACCGCAUACGACCUACGGGUGAAAGCAGGGGAUCUUCGGACCUUGCGCGAUUGAAUGAGCCGAUGUCGGAUUAGCUAGUUGGCGGGGUAAAGGCCCACCAAGGCGACGAUCCGUAGCUGGUCUGAGAGGAUGAUCAGCCACACUGGAAAUGAGACACGGUCCAGACUCCUACGGGAGGCAGCAGUGGGGAAUAUUGGACAAUGGGCGCAAGCCUGAUCCAGCCAUACCGCGUGGGUGAAGAAGGCCUUCGGGUUGUAAAGCCCUUUUGUUGGGAAAGAAAAGCAGCAGGUUAAUACCCCGCUGUUCUGACGGUACCCAAAGAAGAAGCACCGGCUAACUUCGU
rnacentral:rRNA from 1 species